rnacentral:tRNA from 4 species
GGGGGUGUAGCUCAGCUGGUUAGAGCGCCUGCCUGUCACGCAGGAGGUCGCGGGUUCGAGCCCCGUCACUCCCGCCA